rnacentral:rRNA from 1 species
GAGCGAAGGAUGCAAGCGUUAUCCGGAUUCAUUGGGUUUAAAGGGAGCGUAGGUGGCCUUAUAAGUCAGUGGUGAAAUCUCGAGGCUUAACCUCGAAAUUGCCAUUGAUACUGUAGGGCUUGAGUAUAGUUGCCGUUGGCGGAAUAUGACAUGUAGUGGUGAAAUACAUAGAGAUGUCAUAGAACACCGAUUGCGAAGGCAGCUAACGAAACUAUAACUGACACUGAGGCUCGAAAGUGCGGGGAUCAAACAGGA